UGGGCAUGUUCAGAGGAAAGAUGUCAGCUGUAGUGAACCAGAUACCAGCUGAGAGCUGCCGAUGAUCAUCUUGUACCACACAAAUAUGAAAUGAUGCACUUCUGGGAGAAAGGACCAUCCAGCCAGCUGUUCUCAGCAGGGAUGCCAUCGGUACAGCCAAUUAGUCUGGGCUAACCUCAGUGAUUCCAUCCUUUGCACUGGUCAGAGAGUGCCUGAAGCUUUUUCAAGAGAAAGAGAGAAGCACCCUUCUAUGGGAGUCUCCAAGGCUGCUUAGUGAUUCGCCUUUCAGUGCGUAGUCUCAACAGGGCCUAGAAGAGCCUCUCCAGGGAACAGUGCUAUGCAAGCUAGAAGCAAACAAACAGAGGUGACAGCCAAUGAUGAACAUCAGCGCACACUCUUAAAGCCGAGGGUAACCGUAGCGAGUGCUCUCUUUCAAUCUGUGAUGAAUCACAGGAUGGCAUAUUGCUGAUCAUGGAAUUCUACAAGCUCUCUAGGAUGAUACCUGUGUCAGGAAGACAUGGACCACUCAGUGUUACUAAUACAUGGACCACACUCUAGCAAGGUCUGAGGGCUCCCAACCUCCUGCCGUAGAACUCACUGGCAGCUUGAGCUUUGUGUGUGUGUGUGUGUGUGUGUGUGUGUGUGUGUGUGUGACUGAAGUGUUCUAACUGUUGGAAUACAGUAGCCAUUAGCUGUAUGUGUUCACUGAGCACAGUGAAGUGUGAAGAGUUCAUUGUGUAUGUGUGUGUGUGUAUGUGUGUGUGUUAGUGAUGGUGGUGGUGUGUAUAGUAUACCUGAUAGUAUGAGUGUAUGCAGAUGCAUAUACCCCUGCACUUCUGUGGAGGGUACAUGAGGAUGUCUGGUAUCCUACUCUAUUACUUUCCAUUUUAUUUCUUUAAGUCAGCAAGACUCUGACUGAACCUAGCUCACUGGCUAGACUGUCUGUCUGUCCAGGUAGCCUCAGAGAUCUGCCUGGCUCCACAUUCUGUAGCAUUGGUGGUUAGAGCAUUGGAGGUAGGUGAGUG